UAUCGCCUCUGAGUUCUGUGUCCAUCUGCAGCAAAUGAUGAAACCCAGCAGAGCAGGAGAGUGCUGUGGGAGGGACGGCUGGUCCCAGAAGAGAAGAACAGAAGGAAGAGGGAGGAUGGGGGCACGCCUGACCGCUGCCUUGUGGCAACUCCUGUUGUGAAGCUGGAUCCUCCCUCCCGAAAGAGGAGGUCAGAUGUGGCCUCCAUGCCAUUUCCUGGCCUGGGGUGCAUCUCUUUCCCACCUGGUCCCCCUUCUCAUCUAUCAACAGAUCCAUCAUCAAGGAGAAAAACGGGGCCAGUUCCUUAGGUCAGAAGUCUAGCCUGGCUUAGCUGGAUUCUCCCGCGACUGAAUCAAGGUAUUGGGAGGGCUGCCCUCCUCUCUGAACCUCAGACUCCUCUUUCUAGCUCACACAGACCAUUGGAGAUGUGCUGUUUUUAAGGUGAUAAGAACCACUGUGUCCUCUUUGAGGGGAUUUCCUUCCAUUGUCUUCUUUGCUGGCUUCUAUAUUUGGCACAUUUGAGAUUGUAUUCCCUCAGCUGGCUCUUUGCUCCGGGUGGGAAUUUUCCAUGGGGAGAGGCCCGUCCUGGGCCUGGUUUCCAUCUUUCUUUGGUGUUACAGGAGGGAGCUGGGCUGGUGGGGUGUACCAAGCCUCCCUCUUGUUUUGGAAUCCUUGGAUACUUCCUUCUUGGCUCUCCACCUCCCUUCCUUCACCUCCCAUCAUUCAGACCCACCUCCAUUUCUUCCAGGAGAAAGGCAGGCACCCUGGAGCCCAGCAUCUGGCCCUGGUGGAAGAUGGAGCCUGAGAACAUGACUGGGGUGCUGGGGACAGAAGCCAGGACCCUGGGGACUUGUAGGUCAGCCGCUGCUUCAACCUCGGCAAAGUUACAUCAUCUCCUGUCAACUUGCGAAGGGG